GCUCAGUUAGUUCAGUGGUUAGAAUGCUAGAUGAUUUUUUUAUCUUAGAAAUGCAGGUUUGAUUCCUGCACUGGACC